rnacentral:misc_RNA from 1 species
AACGCACCUUGCGCCCUUUGGUAUUCCGAAGGGCAUGCCUGUUUGAGUGUCAUUAAAUUCUCAACCUUGCUCGCUUUUACCGGCUUGAGUGAGGCUUGGAUGUGAGGGCUUGCUGGCUUCCUUAAGUGGAUGGUCUGCUCCCUUUAAAUGCAUUAGUGGGAUCUCUUGUGGACCGUCACUUGGUGUGAUAAUUAUCUACGCCUCGUCGACUUUGAAGCAAACUUAUGGGAACCUGCUUAUAACCGUCUCGCAAGGGACAACUUUCUGACAUUUUGACCUCAAAUCAGGUAGGACUACCCGCUGAACUUAA